GGCAGGCGCCAAACUGCUGCGCCACCCAGGGAUCCCUCAAGUGCACAGCUUGAUGAAAUCAGCCUGCCUCCUCACAUCCUGCCUCUGUGCUGCCCGCCUAGCUCUGAGUUGUCAGAAGCUAAUGUGGUCAGAGGUCCUGCCAAGGCUCUUGCAGUGGAGGGGAGAAAGUGAUGUUGAAGAAUGUGAUUCCCUACAAGUGCCUCCUUGGCUCUCAUCUAACCGCGAGAGGCAGCCUCUGCAUCCCCUGGGUUUUCAGUAGAACACCUGCUAUCUACCUUUCUUCAACACGUACCCUUCCUCCACCCUAUCAGAGGGAAGAAGUGGUCUUCCAUGCAAGGCUCCUUUUCCUUCUGUGCCCAGAUGCCGCAUCUCUCUCUCUCAUCCUCAUUGCUUCCUCACCUAAUACACAUUUUCUUGUUUUGUCUUCUGAGCCCCAUCCAAAGAAUACUUAUCUCUAGAUUUCUUUUAGGCGUUUGAAUUGAUUAAUCCCUCCUUUAAAAAAAACUUUAUUGGGAUAUAAUUAAUAUACUGUACAGCUUACCCACUUAAAAGUGUAUGAUUCAGUGGUUUUCAGCAUAUUCACAGAUAUGUACAACCAUUACCACUGUCAGGUGUAGAACCUUUUCAUCUCCACAAAAAGAAGCUCCAUGUCCUUUACCUGUCAUCCCCAUUCCUCACAACCAAAGCAACUGCUGAUCAGAAUAUUUUGUAGACAAAGGAUUCUGUUGCUAGAGAUUUGCAUCUUCUGGACACUUCAUGUAAAUUGAGCGCUAUAUCAAAAAAAUAAAAAAAAUAAAUUGAGCGCUAUGUGUGUUCUUGUGUCACUGGCUUCUGAGGACAAUUUUUUCGGGGUUCAUUCAUGUAGUAACAUCUAUGAGUGCUUCAUUCCUUUUUAUGGCCAAAUGAUACUCCAUUAUAUAGAUAUAUCUAUCAGCUGAUAGGCAUUCGAGUCCUUUCUACCCUUUGGCUAUUGUGAAUAGUGCUGCUAUGAACUUUACAAGUUUUCGUUCAGAUGCCUGUUUCAGACCUUUUGGGAUAAUACCUAGGAGUGAUACUGAUAGGGCAUGUAGUAGUUGUAUGUUUAAUAUUAAAUGUUAGCUUAAAUAUUUUAAUAUUUAGUUUAGUAUUUAAUAUUUAUGUGUUUAAUAUUUGGAGGGACCACCCAACUGUCUUCAUAGCAGCAGCACCACAUUAGCUUCCCCCAGCAUGCACUGAGAUCCACUUUCUAGUACCAAAUUCCCAGUGGUCAGUAAGGCCUUUCAGUCUGAAGGCUCUUGCCCUCCAACUGUGAGAAAUUCUCUAGUUUCCUCACUUUUAUUAUUUAUGUUCUUCCUGGAAUUUCUGUUAAUUCAAAGUUGAACUUUCUGAUUGAUUUUUCUGUCCCUUGUCUAUUUUUCCAUUUGUGUGUUCAGCUAUUUAGUUGAAGAUUGCUUCAGUUUUGAUCUCCAUGCCCUUCCAUCAACUUAAUUUCAGCCCUACUCUUAACUUUCAGGAGUUGUUCCUUGUUACUCUUUUAGAGCAUCCUGUUAUUGGCUUAAGAGUGAAAUUUCUUCAAUGUCUGCAUUUUCUCAUGUUCCCUGGAUUCUUUUUUUCACAGUAUAGUUUCUUGUUUAUUUAUUUAUUUUUUAAUCUUUCUACUGGAAGAUGUUAUUUCUAUCUUUUCAUCCUAUAAACUUCCUCAAAUGUCUGCGGGUCUUGAUUGUUCAUUUUUAAGAAUGAGGUACUAAAUGGAUUAUCAUGUCUCUGUACUUAGGUGACACUUAUCAUCUGCUAAGAUGAUAGGGCAGGAGUGCUGACAUUUUGCCCUAAGUAGCAGAAUGCAGGGUAUUUUCUAUGGAGCCAUUAAAUUUAUAUACAGAAUAACAUUUCAGUGUUUUCUGUGUGUAUGUGUUAUUGGGAAGCUCUGGGUGUUAUCCUGUUCCUCCUCCCACCCUGGGGGUAGAUCUUGGCUGUGAAGUGCUCUGUGUGCUGGAUUAGAAUGAGGGACACCUCUUUCAUGUGUGGUUUCUUGGCUCUGCCUCUUAUCCCUGCACCCUGAGGUUCCUGGUUCUAGACUUUUCUAGCAAUAUGUAGAGUACAUUGGUUUUUUCCUUGGCUUUAUCUCUCACCCUCCCCAGUUUCUACUACUUCCCCUUAGCUCUUCAUUCCUCAUCAGCUUCCUGUCUUGGUGAGUGGUUUUGAAAUCUCUGAUCCACUGAUGGUCCUUUUUUCCAUUCUCUUGUCUUGAUCUUUAUGUCUCCUUUUGUCUCUUAAGUGUUGUUUUAAUGAAAUGUUAGGAAGGUGAGAUAAGUCAGUGUGUUCAGUCUUCCAAAUAAUUCUAUAUCAUUACUUUCUUUUUUUUUUUUUUUAAGUGUUUUAUUUAUUUAAGUAAUCUCUACACCCAGCAUGGGGCUCAAACUCAUGACCCCAAGGUCAGGAGUCACAUGCUCUACCAACUGAGCCAGCCAGGCAACCCUGCUUUCUGAUUUUCACCAUUAAAAACAACUAAAAGUCCAUCAAGAGUUGAUUAAAUUAUGCUCUGUUCAUACAACAAAGUACUAGGCAUUCAUUAAAAGUGAAUGAACCUAUUUUGGCAUCAAUAAUUUGCCAAGAUGAGUAUGUCUUUAAAAAUUUACAAAGCAUUGAGUUAUAAAAAUAUAAACUAGAUUCAUACAUGUGACUGAGGAAAGAACCCAAUUAUAACAGUGGUUAAAUCUGAGAGGUAAUAUCCAGAGUUCUUUCUUUCAGUUUCUUUAAACAUCUCUAGAUCUUCUGAACUUUUUAAAAAUAAGCAUGUUUUUAGUAACCAGAAUAUAUGUAAAUUUAUUUGUGAAAUACUAUCAUGACUAUCCUUGUACAUAAACAAGCUUUUGUGUGCAGCUUGGCUUUUUCAAGUAUCCACAUUUAUUUGAUGAAGAGAACAUCAUUUGAAACUUUAAAUAUUUUCAAAUUUACUCUCCAGAAGGAAUGCAGACAUAUAUUCACCAGCAGUAUUUGACCAUGCUGGUUCCCUAGGCUCUCGCUGGAGCCAGGGAAUGAGAUCAUUAUGCAGUUCCUGCUUGGCCAGUUUGAUGGUCAUUGCUUCCAGUUGCCUUCUGCAAGAGAUAUCUCAUCUGAUUGGCACCCAGAGAGUCACCCCUUUCAAACUGGUGUUUGUAUAUUCUCCAAAGUUGUACUUUUCUCUUAACUUUUUCUAUUGUCAGCAUUUUUUUUUCUGUCUGAUUUAUUUUCUUAUGAGUAAUUAUCAAAAUAGUCACUUUGAUAUUUGGAGCUCUUCUCUACCCAGUUCAAAAAGUGUGAUAACUAAAAUAGUAAAUUCCUGAGCUCAGUUCCUCAGAUCUCAAAAUGAUUUUUCCUCUAAUUAAGGCAGUAUAGGGAGAGAAUUAGGAGUUUGAGCUUUAUAGUUAAGCUGCCUGAGCUAAAAAUCUUAGCUUUACAACAGCUUACCUGCUGUAACCCUCGUCUAGUUAAUGAGCUGGAGCCAGUUCCCUCACCUAAAUAAUAGGCGAACCUUUCUAUACAAGCAUGUGACAUAGUGCUGGCACAUAAUAGACUCUUGAAUUACGUUUAUUCUAUCAUUACUAUCAUAAGACGGGACACUCCUGAGUAGGUACAAUGGAUUGAAAUGUGCACUCUACCCCAGAAAAUGUAUGUUUAAAAAGAAUUUUUUGUUUUAGUAUAGUUAACAAUGCUACAUUGCCCUCAGGUAUACCAUAUGGUGAUUCACUUCCUCUAUAAAAAAGUUAUAUGCUGCAAAAAAAAAAAAAAGUUAUAUUUUAAGCCCUACCUCUGAACAUGAUGGUAUUUAGAGAUGGGAUCUUUGGGAGAUGUUUAGGUUUAAAUGAGGUCAGGAGAGCAGGGACCUUAUGAUGGGAUUAGUGCCUUUAUAGGAAGAGACAGCAGAGCUCUCUUCCCAUCUUGCUCCUCAGCAAAAAGGCAGCUGUCUACAAGCCAGAAAGAAAGCCUUUAGCAAAAUUCAACUAUGCUGGCACUCUGAUCUUAAGACUUAAAUUCUCCAGAACUGUGAGAAUUAAACAGUCUGUUGUUUAAGCCAACAGUUCACUGGUAUUUUAUUAUAGCACCCUGAGCUGAUUAAAACAUAUAGUUUUGUUAUUGUGGAGCAUAGGGCCUGUAGUCCUAGGUGAGAAAUAAGGGGAGCAAUGAUGAUAGACCAUGAGAUGAGUUUGGGAUGCAGGUAGAAGUAAGAAUACAUAGUACGGACAUCCAUGCUUUUCUUGCAUCUGUUUAACGUCUAGACUGUUUAUCAUCAGAAAACAACAGUGAACUGGUAAUUCUUUUCCCAAGCAACAAGAUCUUGAUUUGUCUCAGUUUGAAGGCUAAUUUUGUGGAAGAUUAUGGAAUGACGUUUCUGUAUAAGUCUUUGUGUCAUCUGACUAUAAAAUGCAUAAUAAAAUGCAGAUUGUGUUCUGCAGCUUUCCUUCAACAUGGCAUUUGUUAGGUAGGGAUUCUGUUCAUGGGUGUGAACGCUGGAACCUGUAUCUGUUAAGAAAAAGUUGAGUUCAAAAUGACUCUUUUUUUUUUUUUGACUCAUUUUUUUAAAUGGAAUUCUGAGUCUUUUGUCUUCAAUAUAAUCAUAAUACAAAUUUUUCUUUCCCAAAGUCCCACUGAUUCUUAGAGUUUUCUUUUUGUGGGGAAAAAAAAAAACGCUCUUGUUGUUACUAAAUCGGUAUUAGGGUAUUGUGAAAAAAAUUAAAAUGUUUCAAUCCACAACUUCAUUAGAUUAAUACCAACUAUUUUAAGGCUUAUUUGUUUAUUCUGUAUGUGAACAAUUUUGUACACGUGUUUAUUCCCUUAAUAUUAUUUCAGUGACUCAGUAUUGUUAUUUGUUUAAAAUAUCCCCAUUAUCUCUGAAAGGGUGCUGGUUUUACGCACUGUGUGGCCAGUGGGUGCCACUCUGACCACUCAAAUCAGGGCCCCAGAGGAUACGGUUUGUCCAACCGAAGGACCAGCCUUCAUUUUUAGGCUAAUAAAUUCAAGGUUUACAAUAUUUACAGGAGAUUUUGAUAAAUUGAUUUUAAUUAAACAAUU